rnacentral:rRNA from 1 species
AUUGAACGCUGGCGGCAGGCCUAACACAUGCAAGUCGAACGGAGCGUCGGACGGGUGAGUAAUACCUAGGAAUCUGCCUGGUAGUGGGUGAUAACGUUCGGACCCGGACGCUAAUACCGCAUACUAUCAUAUGACCCUCGGUGUGAUUAGCUAGUUGGUGAGGGAAUGGCUCACCAAGGCUACGAUCCGUAACUGGUCUUAGAGGAUGAUCAGUCAAACUGGAACUGAGACACGGUCCAGACUCCGACGGGAGGCAGCAGUGGGGAAUAUUGGACAAGGGGCGAAAGCCUGAUUCAGCCAUGACGCGUGUGUGAAGAAGGUCUUCGGAUUGUAAAGCACUUUAAGUUGGGAGGCGUUACCGAAAGAAUAAGCACCGGCUAACUCUGUGCCCGCAGCCGCGGUAAUAC